rnacentral:rRNA from 1 species
UACGUAGGGUGCAAGCGUUGUCCGGAAUUAUUGGGCGUAAAGGGCUCGUAGGCGGUCCAUCACGUCGGGAGUGAAAAGCUGGGGCUUAACCCCAGUCCUGCUUCCGAUACGGGUGGACUAGAGGUAGGCAGGGGAGAACGGAAUUCCUGGUGUAGCGGUGAAAUGCGCAGAUAUCAGGAAGGAACACCCGGUGGCGUAAGGCGGGCUCU